rnacentral:rRNA from 1 species
AUGGCGCCGCCGGGCGGCGCGCCGAGGGCGGCGCACACGGUCCGCGACCUGGCGGAGGAGGGGAAGAAGCGGGCCGUGCUGCUCCUCGUCUUCGCCUUCGGCCUCGCCUUCCUCAUGUCCCUGACAAGCUCUUCAGUCUGGAUUAACUUCCCAUUCGCCAUAUCUUUGAUAGUUCUGUUUCGCUACCUAUCACUUGACUACGACUUCCGUAGAAAGAGCACAACUACCACAGAUCGUGAUGCCAGUCGCCCACUUGCCAAAACAAAAAGUAUUGAAUUGAGUAAACCUUCCCUUGCCCAGAAGAUUGCAAGUACUGGUUGGAGGAGCAAGGUGAAUUCGCCUCCAGUUGAAGCAGCAUUUGAACAGUUCACAAGGCAUCUUGUCACGGAGUGGGUAACAGAUCUUUGGUACUCCCGUAUAACACCUGAUAAGGACGGACCGGAGGAACUCAUCAGCAUAGUUAAUUCUGUCCUUGGAGAGAUUUCUAACCGGGCAAGAAGCAUUAACAUCAUCACUCUGCUAACCAGGGACCUGGUCGAUCUCAUAUGCAAUAAUUUGGAGCUUUAUCAUUCCUGUGAAGCUAAGAUUGGAAAAGAGAAGUUUGUUAGACUCCCGACGGAGCGUCGUGAUGCUGAACUGAAACUCGCCCUUGUAGCUCAAAGCAAGUUGCAUCCGGCUUUAUUUUCAGCCAGUGCUGAAUACAAGGUCUUGCAAAGCCUUGCUGAUGGUUUGCUCUCAAUCACAGUAAAGCCUGAGAAUCUACAGUGCUCGUUCUUCCAUUAUACUGCACGAGAACUUCUUGCAUGCACAGUUUUGAGGCCUGUCAUAAACUUGGCAAAUCCAAGGUUUAUUAAUGAAAGGAUUGAAUCUUUGGUUCUUUCUCGCGCCAACAAGGCAGAUAAAGGAGUUGAAGGAUCCUUGGAGGAUGCUACAAUGGUGAAGCAAAGGGAGCCUCCUAUGCCAUCAGUGGAUGAACUUUCUGCACUAGCAGACCACUCAAGUCCUGGGGUUGAACUUGUUAGAUUCAGUCAGGGCCAGUCCAAAACUGCUUCCGAUAUGCAACUAAGCAAAACUCAAAGUACAUCUAGUAUCAAACCAAAAGCCCUUAAUUCUUCUAUGGUCAAUGAUUCACAUCCACUUGAGUCAGGCAGUUUACCGUCCGAUUCCCACAUCUAUCCAGAUACCGGUAUUUCUUGUGGCAAGAUAGCCGCAGAGAGUUAUGAAGGAGAGUCAGCACAAAUAUUGGAUUUCAGCUCCCACAGAAAAAUUCGAGUCGUGGCACCUGAGCACCUUGAGAAUAUGUGGACUAUAGGGAAGAAUUACAAAUCAGAAAUUGCAAAACAUGUUGCUAAAGCACCUGUUAGAUCUUCUUUGGUCACCCAUUCUUCAGUGCAGGAGCCAGUUCCCUUCAGCACUUCAGUUCGUCAUCCUCCUCCUGUUCCACAAAGGCAAACAACAUUGUCUAAUUCUGAGCAUCAUCAUUUGAUAAAACACUCAGCUACUCCAGCAUAUUCAAAUGGCACUAACCACCUGCCAAAAGGUUUAGCUGGAGAAAUGGCAGGUCAUGCCAGCCAAGAAGAUUCUGCAUUGGACAGUGAGAGUUCAUAUUGCACCGAGGAGGACGAAAAUAACAAUGUAACUGGCUUGGACUCUCCUGUAACCAGAGUUUGGGACAGUAAAAGUAAAGGAAAUGGGACAUCAUCUCAUAUACAUCAUCCACUUGAAAUGUCUGGUUUCCAUAAAUCAAGGACAAAUAGAAGUCAUGCGAGCAAGUUGAAAAUGGCAAGAACUUCAUCAGGAAGGAAAAGGACAAGGUCAAAUGUUCAAAAGAUUCCAUUGUGGCAAGAGGCAGAUAGAUCUUUUUUGGCGGGUGGUGAUUUUGGCAUACUAAAUACAUCAGCAAAUGAUUCAAGGACGGAUGGACUGUAUGAUGACACUGAGGUGGAAAGCAUGACUAGGAUGCUUAGUCGUGCAAAUACCUCAUCAUUGUCGUUGGCAUCAAGUGACUCUUCCUAUUCAUCUAGCACCAAUGUGUUGGAAGACUCGUAUUUGAAGUUAAGAUGUGAGGUGGUAGGAGCCAGCAUCGUAAAAAGUGGGUCUGGCAUGUUUGCUGUGUAUUCUGUCUCCGUAACUGAUGCCAACAGUAAUAGUUGGUCCAUCAAGAGGAGGUUUCGUCAUUUUGAAGAGCUACAUCGGCGUCUGAAAGAAUAUCCUCAGUACAGUCUUCACUUGCCUCCGAAGCAUUUCCUCUCAUCAGGGUUAGAGGUUUCUGUUGUUCGAGAGAGAUGCAACUUGCUUGACAUAUAUUUGAAGAAUCUUCUUCAGAUUCCAACUGUUUCAAGCUGUAUUGAAGUCUGGGAUUUUCUAAGUGUUGAUUCACAGACAUACAUUUUCACCGAUUCUCUGUCAGUUAUCCAGGCACUGUCAGUCAAUUUAGAUGUAAGAUCAAAUGAGAGGGGUGCAAAACCAUUGAAUUCUGCCAAAGCUUUGGAUGGAAAUUUGGCCUCUCCGAGACAAACUUUAAGUGCAUGUCAAAAUGAUAAUGAUCAGAAGGAUAAGUACUUCGCUGCUGUUGACGGUGGUUUGAGAUUGAGGAAGGGAAAUACGGAACAGAAUUUAGGACCUAGUGUUAGCAACUCAAGUGCCAAUAUUUAUCAAGACCACUCUGGAAGUGAUCCUGAACAGAACGAUCACUCGUUUUUGAUAAAUUCAGGAAAUGAUAAGAAAAAGCAGUCAGCUCAAACUGAGUAUAUAUCUCAAAUUUUGGAAUCUGAUGGAUACUCAGUGAGUCCUAAUGAAUGGUUGGCCCCAAAUCUUAGCGCCCCCAUAUUUCAUCUGGUCGAUGUGAUUUUCCAGCUCCAAGAUGGAGGCUGGAUCAGGCGUCAAGCAUUUUGGGUAGUGAAGCAAAUACUGCAAUUGGGAAUGGGAGACACAUUUGAUGACUGGCUUGUUGAGAAAAUCCAGUUACUUAGGAAGGGGAGGAUAAUUGCUUUUGCGGUCAAGCGUGUUGAACAAAUACUCUGGCCAGAUGGAAUUUUCAUGACAAAGCAUCCCGACAGAAAACCAGCUGCUCCUUCUCCUGGUUCCCAGAAUGAUAGCAGGACAAACUAUCUGAUUGAACAACAACGAUUAGAAGAUGCUCAUCGUGCAGAAUUUGUUCGUGAACUGAUAAUAGAUAAAGCACCAUCAGCCCUAGUGAGUCUGGUUGGUCGAAAGGAGUACGAAAGAUGUGCUCAGGAUAUCUACUUCUUUCUUCAGUCCCCGGUUUGCUUGAAGCAGCUAGCGUUCGAACUCGUGGAGCUCCUUGUCCUAGCCGCGUUCCCAGAGCUGGACGGCACGGUGAGGAAGUGGCACGAAGACAAGCACGAGUUCUCCGCGCUGGACUGA